rnacentral:rRNA from 1 species
GUCUACGGCCAUGCCCCCAUGAACAAGCCCGAUCUUGUCUGAUCUUGGAAACUAAGCAGACUUGGGCCUGGUGAGUACUUAGAUGGAAGUCCACCUAGGAAGACCAGGUGCUGUAGGUA